rnacentral:rRNA from 1 species
UUUAUGGAGAGUUUGAUCCUGGCUCAGGAUGAACGCUGGCGGCGUGCCUAAUACAUGCAAGUCGAGCGAACGGACGAGAAGCUUGCUUCUCUGAUGUUAGCGGCGGACGGGUGAGUAACACGUGGAUAACCUACCUAUAAGACUGGGAUAACUUCGGGAAACCGGAGCUAAUACCGGAUAAUAUUUUGAACCGCAUGGUUCAAAAGUGAAAGACGGUCUUGCUGUCACUUAUAGAUGGAUCCGCGCUGCAUUAGC